UACGUAGGGUCCGAGCGUUGUCCGGAAUUACUGGGCGUAAAGAGCUCGUAGGCGGUUUGUCGCGUUGUUCGUGAAAACUCACAGCUCAACUGUGGGCGUGCGGGCGAUACGGGCAGACUGGAGUACUGCAGAGGAGACUGGAAUUCCUGGUGUAGCGGUGGAAUGCGCAGAUAUCAGGAGGAACACCGGUGGCGAAGGCGGGUCUCUGGCAGUAACUGACGCUGGAGGAGCGAAAGCGUGGGGAGCGAACAGG
rnacentral:rRNA from 1 species